AGAGCGAACGCUGGCGGCAGGCCUAACACAUGCAAGUCGAACGGACCCUUCGGGGUUAGUGGCGGACGGGUGAGUAACUCGUGGGAACGUGCCUUUUGGUUCGGAAUAGCUCCUGGAAACGGGUGGUAAUGCCGAAUGUGCCCUUCGGGGGAAAGAUUUAUCGCCAUUAGAGCGGCCCGCGUCUGAUUAGCUAGUUGGUGAGGUAAUGGCUCACCAAGGCGACGAUCAGUAGCUGGUCUGAGAGGAUGACCAGCCACAUUGGGACUGAGACACGGCCCAAACUCCUACGGGAGGCAGCAGUGGGGAAUCUUGCGCAAUGGGCGAAAGCCUGACGCAGCCAUGCCGCGUGAAUGAUGAAGGUCAUAGGAUUGUAAAAAUUCUUUCACCGGGACGAUAAUGACGGUACCGGAGAAGAAGCCCCGGCUAACUUCGUGCCAGCAGCCGC
rnacentral:rRNA from 1 species